UAUCAUUGGUUAGGAUCAUUUUUAUGCCAUAUCUAUGCAUGCUGCUUGUGUUGUAUAAUAUCAGUCCGAGCACACCUUUGUACUGUAGGUACACCUUGUACUCUGAUGAAUAUACCCCAUCACACCUUUGUACUGUAGGUACACCUUGUACCCUGAUGAUGAUACCCAAUCACUGGAAUCACUGGAAUCCCUUAGACUUGAGUUUUAGUGAUUCUUAUGAGAUUAGAGUUGAAGUUCCAUGGAAUCCCUUAGACUUUAGUGUAGUAAGGCUUUUGGUCACUCUACCAAGUCUUGUCCUUUUAAUGUUAAGCAAACUAAAGAGGAGAAAGGGGAAAUAAAUUCUAGUGAAACGGGAAUCAGUGAAGACGAAAAAAGGAAAUAUGCUUCUCCAAAAUAGAAGGUCGAUGUGUUCUUAUCUAAUUAUUUUUACUUGUUAGCAUUG